rnacentral:rRNA from 1 species
CAGUCGCCGCGGGAAUACGUAGGGUGCAAGCGUUAAUCGGAAUUACUGGGCGUAAAGCGUGCGCAGGCGGUUUCGUAAGACAGAUGUGAAAUCCCCGGGCUUAACCUGGGAACUGCAUUUGUGACUGCGAGGCUAGAGUGUGUCAGAGGGGGGUGGAAUUCCACGUGUAGCAGUGAAAUGCGUAGAUAUGUGGAGGAACACCGAUGGCGAAGGCAGCCCCCUGGGAUAACACUGACGCUCAUGCACGAAAGCGUGGGGAGCAAACAGGAUUAGAUACCCCAGUAGUCCCUGUCUCUUAUAC